rnacentral:rRNA from 1 species
UACGGAGGGUGCAAACGUUGCUCGGAAUUAUUGGGCGUAAAGCGCACGUAGGUGGUCUACUAAGUCGGGUGUGAAAGCCCUGGGCUCAACCCAGGAAGUGCACUCGAAACUGAUAGGCUUGAGUAUGGAAGAGGGUCGCGGAAUUCCCGGUGUAGAGGUGAAAUUCGUAGAUAUCGGGAGGAACACCAGUGGCGAAGGCGGCGACCUGGGCCAAUACUGACACUGAGGUGCGAAAGCGUGGGGAGCAAACGAGGAU